rnacentral:lncRNA from 1 species
UGAACUCACAGAGAUCCAUUUGCUUCGGCCUCCUGAGUGCUGGGAUUAAAGUCAUAUGUCACCACUGCCCAGUUUAGAAUAGUUUUCCUUUUUUUUUUUUUUUUCCAGACAAUUUCUCUGUGGCCUGGUCUACAAGAGCUAGUUCUAGGACAACCUCCAAAGGCACAGAGAAACUCUGUCUCCAAAAACCAAAAAAAGAAAAAAUAGAAAAGAAAAGAAGAAGAAGAAGAAUUGGUAAGGUGAGAGUCUUGGAAAAUGGAAGCAGAAUCAUCCUUGCCCCUUACUGCUUUGUUAGCCGACACCGUUUCCCUCUUGGUGAUUCCUGGUUUCUGAGUUUUGGUUCCUCAUCCAUGAAAGAGAAGCAGUCAUGGGUUUGUAAAGUCUUUUGUCACCCAAUCGUGGUCAUUCCUACAAACCAGUCACAGCCUCUAUGACACCAUCAAAAGGAGAUUUCAGAACGAGCUAGAAUGCAUCACCUGGCAGAAAGCAGCUUGGUGACGACCUGGAGCUAGUUGUGGGGGAAUAAAUGACUGAAAAGGGCUCCCGGAACCUCAGGGGAGGGGUGUGGUGAUGCCCAGGUGGCUGUGUACCUUUGUGAGAAACAUACCUUACUGAGCGAGCACUUAAAAUGCCUGCUGUGUCUUGUGUGUAUAAACUACCCCUGGG